rnacentral:rRNA from 1 species
GAUCAUGGCUCAGGAUGAACGCUAGCUACAGGCUUAACACAUGCAAGUCGAGGGGCAGCAUUGGAGUAGCAAUACUUCAGAUGGCGACCGGCGCACGGGUGAGUAACACGUAUCCAACCUGCCGCUUACUCGGGGAUAGCCUUUCGAAAGAAAGAUUAAUACCCGAUGGUAUAAAGAGUUCGCAUGUUCUCUUUAUUAAAGAAUUUCGGUAAGCGAUGGGGAUGCGUUCCAUUAGAUAGUUGGCGGGGUAACGGCCCACCAAGUCUACGAUGGAUAGGGGUUCUGAGAGGAAGGUCCCCCACAUUGGAACUGAGACACGGUCCAAACUCCUACGGGAGGCAGCAGUGAGGAAUAUUGGUCAAUGGACGAGAGUCUGAACCAGCCAAAAGUAGCGUGAAGGAUGACUGCCCUAUGGGUUGUAAACUUCUUUUAUAAGGGAAUAAAGUGAGGGACGUGUCCCUUUUUGUAUGUACCUUAUGAAUAAGGAUCGGCUAACUCCGUGCCAGCCGCCGC